rnacentral:rRNA from 1 species
AGUGAACGCUGGCGGUAGGCCUAACACAUGCAAGUCGAACGGCAGCACAGUAAGAGCUUGCUCUUACGGGUGGCGAGUGGCGGACGGGUGAGGAAUACAUCGGAAUCUACUUUUUCGUGGGGGAUAACGUAGGGAAACUUACGCUAAUACCGCAUACGACCUACGGGUGAAAGCAGGGGAUCUUCGGACCUUGCGCGAUUGAAUGAGCCGAUGUCGGAUUAGCUAGUUGGCGGGGUAAAGGCCCACCAAGGCGACGAUCCGUAGCUGGUCUGAGAGGAUGAUCAGCCACACUGGAACUGAGACACGGGCCAGACUCCUACGGGAGGCAGCAGUGGGGAAUAUUGGACAAUGGGCGCAAGCCUGAUCAAGCCAUACCGCGGGGGUGAAGAAGGCCUUCGGGUUGUAAAGCCAUUUGUUGGGAAAGAAAAGCAGCAGGUUAAUACCCUGCUGUUCUGACGGUACCCAAAGAAUAAGCACCGGCUAACUUCGUG